rfam:Nematostella vectensis strain CH2 x CH6 NEMVEscaffold_350_Cont24650, whole genome shotgun sequence.
ACCAGGAUGGCCGAGUGGUUAAGGCGUUGGAUUUAAGUUCCAAUGUACGAAUGUACGCGUGGGUUCCAACCCCACUCCUGGUA